rnacentral:rRNA from 1 species
UACAGAGGGUACGAGCGUUAAUCGGAAUUACUGGGCGUAAAGCGUGCGUAGACGGCUAUUUAAGUCGGGUGUGAAAGCCCCGGGCUCAACCUGGGAAUUGCAUUCGAGACUGAGCAGCUAGGGUGCGGUAGAGGGAAGCGGAAUUCCCGGUGUAGCAGUGAAAUGCGUAGAGAUCGGGAGGAACAUCUGUGGCGAAGGCGGCCAUCUGGACAGUUCCUGACACUGAGGCACGAAGGCCAGGGGAGCAAACGGG